CUUUAGAAAUACAUAAUAUUUCUAAUAAAAAAGAAAAAUAAUAGUAAUAAAGUGUCUUAAGAAGUGUCGGUAUUCGACACGUGAUGAAUACGGACACGCCACCCUAAUUGAAGUUUCUGUACAAAAGAUUUCAUUAUUAUAUGUUCACAUAUUACUGAAAAACACAUACACAUAGAAUAGUUCAUGAUUUUUUUAAUAUAUCAUCUGUCUCUUCUUUUAAACGUAUGGAUUCGGCUGCACAGAGUAGAAGGUGGGGAUCUUUUUUCCCCUUUUUCAAAAGGUCACUUGCAGGAGACGAAAACGUGAAUGGUCCAAGAUUAUGGAAGCUUCUGCUUUGAGCUCAAUAUUCCUAAAGUCGCUGAAAAGGCUGGGGACAUGUCUUCUAUUGGACUUGACGAGAUAGAAAUGCAGGGACUGAAUGUUCGGCUAAUAGCAUCAUCCUCCAUUUUAGACAUUGUAAUGUUAAAAUUAGUAGAGAAAUGGAAUUUGCUAUGAAGAGCUGGUGAAUGAAGUCCUUCCAGGUUUGAGUCAGUUUCUUCAUAUGGUAUAAACAGUUCUGGGUGAGACAACCAGUCAGAAAGGGGUUAGCACACAAUGAAUAUAGUGUGAAGAUGUUAACAGCAUCCGUAUUCUACUGGCAAAGGAAAUUAUGAUGCUAAUAAUCUGUCCAAUUUCAACGGGACCUGAUCAGCUACCCUCAGGGCAAGGACUACAGGAUUGUUCUGAUGUCCCAAGACAUUCGUCAUGUAGAAGAUGCAUUUGGACACAUAUAUGAAGAUUUGGCAAGGGAUUUGAUAAUGCCAACCGUGGAUUAUGGGGCACGCUCCAACGAUGAUGUUAAUAUAUGAAAGCAAGUAUGCAACGAUGAGCCAACAAAGCACGAUGAUGAUGACACGUGAUACUUUAUUAUGGUUUGAGUUUUAUAAACUAGUUAAAUUUUCUUUAAUGUACUUUCUUUGGUUAGAUUUUAAGUCAUAUGUUAUCCUCUUAAAGUUUGUGCUUUCUUUUUAGUCUUAUAAUGUGUAAAUACUAUGCCUGGGUGGUGUUUUGAUUAACAAGAAAAGUCUCAAGUUACCGAAGUUUC